UACGUAGGGGGCUAGCGUUGUCCGGAAUCAUUGGGCGUAAAGCGCGUGUAGGCGGUCCGGUAAGUCCGCUGUGAAAGUCGGGGGCUCAACCCUCGAAAGCCGGUGGAUACUGUCGGGCUAGAGUACGGAAGAGGCGAGUGGAAUUCCUGGUGUAGCGGUGAAAUGCGCAGAUAUCAGGAGGAACACCCGUAGCGAAGGCGGCACUCUGGGCCGAUACUGACACUGAGGAGCGAAAGCGUGGGGAGCGAACAGG
rnacentral:rRNA from 1 species